rnacentral:rRNA from 1 species
GACAGAGGUGCCGAGCGUUAGGCGGAAUCACUGGGCUUAAAGCGUGUGUAGGCGGAUCCGUAAGUACCUUGUGAAAUCCCACGGCUCAACCGUGGAACGGCUGGGUAUACUGCCUGUCUUGAGCCAACUAGGGGCGAGCGGAACAGACGGUGGAGCGGUGAAAUGCGUAGAUAUCGUCUGGAACGCCAAAGGUGAAAACAGCUCGCUGGGGUUGUGCUGACGCUGAGACACGAAAGCCAGGGGAGCGAACGGG